ensembl:snRNA U2 U2 spliceosomal RNA
AUCGCUUCUCAGCCUUUUGGCUAAGAUCCAGUGUAGAUACUGUAAAAAUAAGGAAUUCAUUGAAAUGCAUGGGUAUAGACCGAUAUAAAAGUUCUUGGUGUGCCUGGGUGGCACAGUUGGUUAAAUGUGCGACUUCAGCUCAGGUCAUGAUCUCACAGUUCAUGGGUUUGAGCCCCAUGUC